UACGUAGGGGGCAAGCGUUGUCCGGAUUUAUUGGGCGUAAAGAGCGUGUAGGCGGUUUUACAGGUCCGCUGUGAAAACUCGAGGCUCAACCUCGAGAUGUCGGCGGAAACCAUCUGGCUAGAGUCCGGAAGAGGAGAGUGGAAUUCCUGGUGUAGCAGUGAAAUGCGUAGAUAUCGUGAGGAACACCAGAGGCGAAGGCGGCUACCUGGACAAUUGCUGACACUCAGGCACGAAAGCGUGGGGAGCAAAAGGG
rnacentral:rRNA from 1 species